GCACAUCCGCCAGCGUGUGAAAAUGUUCUGGGCCAAACAAGAGCAGAAAAUGAAAUGUAAAAUGGAGGAUGAGGAAGAAGAGCCUGCUGCCUCAGUACCAAAUCCUUAGCCGGUGUCAGCCACUCCGUGUGGAAGGACGGUGCAUCCAAACUGCACUUUCCCUGUGACGGCGUCUUUUAGCAAGCCUUAGUGUGGUGGAUACACGACCCUUUGCACACGAGGUAGGAUUUGUUACAGACAAGCUGAAGUUUAGUUUCCUGCCUUGCCCGGAAUGCUACGCUUUCACGUGGCCAUCUUCCCCGCAGUUGUUGACAUGCCUAGUGACCGUGACCUCUGACACCCGUUUUCCCACUUUUGCCAGGAUCUGUAUUUUAACUUACCUCAGAGCCCUCUUAGUUGUCUUGGUUUGGGGGUGGUUUGGGGGUGUUGGGAUAACAGAUGGGGCAAGGCUGUAGCCCUACUGAGCUGUUUCCAGAGGCCGUUGUCAGGAAGGAUUUCCAGUGUUACAGCCCCAGAGUAUAACAGCAGCGCCCUGUUAGCUUAAUGGUCCCCAUUGGUUCUGUGGCUGCGGCUCACCAGGAUUCUCCCAUUCAAAAGGCCCAGACAUGGCUGACAGCCUCCUCUGUAGGUCUGACUGACAAGCUACCACGCGUCUUAGGUAAAUAGUAAAGCCUUUAUUUUCUUGUUAAGAACAGCAUUUUGAAAAUAAAACCUAUCUGCCCAUGCUUAACAACCUUUAAAGUCUGUGAUAUUUUAUAUACAGCCCUGUACAUACUGAUUGUCUGGAAAUUUCUUAAACAGUUUUUGUUUAUAAGUAUGCAAGUCAGCCAGGAUGAGGGGAAGAGUGAGGGUACAUUAUAAAAUACACAUUAAUACAUUUAAUAAAUAUAUAUUAUCUAUCAAAAACGAGCCAUAGCUCUUAAUGAAUAAAGCACCUGCCAAGGGCUCUCAUCAGCUCACAGUUGCUACAUCCUUGGAUGUGUAAAUGCCAGUGCCCCCUUCUACUUUGCCAUUUGGCAAAUUCAAAAGACAACUCUUCCCCCACCCUGCACUUGUUCCCUGGCCUUGACCUCCUCUGUGUGGGGGUGGGGCAGACAACAACCAGAUCUUAACUUUAGAAACAGCUGACACAUUGGAGCCCCUCCCCUCUGCCAUUGUCCUGCUACCUUGGCAACUGACUCCAGACCUCUAUGGAGUCUUCACUCAGGAGGGGACAGAGCGGUGGUUAUAGUCCCAAUAUGGUAUUAGUACCCGGGCAUGCCAAGUUGUGCUUGCAGUUUGGGGUUAUUCACAGAUGACUUUCUAGACCAUUUUCCCCAACCAAGUCUUGGGUCUAUCAACACUUAAACAGGUGCCAUGGGAUUCUGCAUUUCAGCCUUGCUCUGUCAGAAGCUGGCUGCCACAGUCUCUGGGUGGAGUUGCCUCGUGGUCCUCGGUCCUCUUCAGGUGAAUUUGAACUCAAAAUAAUAGUAGACGUUGACCUAAUUCCUUUGCUCCCACUUCCGCCCUCCAUGUAAAAACAUUCAACCCACCCCGAAUCUUAAAGCCGAGAUAAAACAAAGCCCAGAAGCGCAAUAACCUAUCAGGAUCGGAAAGAACAAAAAGCAAAACUGAAAUGCCUCACUAAGCAAGGAGGUUUCUUGUGGCUCAACGUGGUUCUGUUUUACAGUGCAGAGAUGCUGCUCUCUGCACAGCCAUUUGUACGGUGCGGUGCUCACCUCAUACGUGGACAACAAAGAGCUUAGAGAGAAAACCAUCAAUCAUGUCAGCUUCUCCC
rnacentral:lncRNA from 1 species